AGUGAACGCUGGCGGUAGGCCUAACACAUGCAAGUCGAACGGCAGCACAGUAAGAGCUUGCUCUUACGGGUGGCGAGUGGCGGACGGGUGAGGAAUACAUCGGAAUCUACUUUUUCGUGGGGGAUAACGUAGGGAAACUUACGCUAAUACCGCAUACGACCUACGGGUGAAAGCAGGGGAUCUUCGGACCUUGCGCGAUUGAAUGAGCCGAUGUCGGAUUAGCUAGUUGGCGGGGUAAAGGCCCACCAAGGCGACGAUCCGUAGCUGGUCUGAGAGGAUGAUCAGCCACAAUGGAACUGAGACACGGUCGCGACUGAUACGGGAGGCAGCAGUGGGGGAUAUUGGACAAUAGGCGCAAGCCUGAUCCAGCCAUAACGCGUAAGUGAAGAAGGCCUUCGGGUUGUAAAGCCCUUUUGUUGGGAAAGAAAAGCAGCAGGUUAAUACCCCGCUGUUCUGACGGUACCCAAAAAAUAAGCACCGGCAAAACUCGAC
rnacentral:rRNA from 1 species